AUUGAACGCUGGCGGAAUGCUUUACACAUGCAAGUCGAACGGUAGAGGGGGCAACCUCUUGAGAGUGGCGAACGGGUGAGUAAUGUAUCGGAACGUGCCCAGUCGUGGGGGAUAACGUAGUGAAAAUUACGCUAAUACCGCAUACGAUCUAUGAUGAAAGCGGGGGAACGCAAGACCUCGCGCGAUUGGAGCGGCCGAUAUCAGAUUAGGUAGUUGGUGAGGUAAAGGCUCACCAAGCCAACGAUCUGUAGCUGGUCUGAGAGGACGACCAGCCACACUGGAACUGAGACACGGUCCAGACUCCUACGGGAGGCAGCAGUGGGGAAUUUUGGACAAUGGACGCAAGUCUGAUCCAGCCAUUCCGCGUGCAGGACGAAGGCCUUCGGGUUGUAAACUGCUUUUGUACGGAACGAAAAAGCUCUUAUUAAUACUAGGAGUCCAUGACGGUACCGUAAGAAUAAGCACCGGCUAACUACGUGCCAGCAGCCGCGUAA
rnacentral:rRNA from 1 species